GACGAACGCUGGCGGCGUGCUUAACACAUGCAAGUCGAACGGAAAGGCCCUGCUUUUGUGGGGUGCUCGAGUGGCGAACGGGUGAGUAACACGUGAGUAACCUGCCCUUGACUUUGGGAUAACUUCAGGAAACUGGGGCUAUACCGGAUAGGUGCUUCUGUUGCCUGGUGGGGGUUGGAAAGUUUCGGCGGUUGGGGAUUGACUCGCGGCUUAUCAGCUUGUUGGUGGGGUAGUGGCUUACCAAGGCUUUGACGGGUAGCCGGCCUGAGAGGGUGACCGGCCACAUUGGGACUGAGAUACGGCCCAGACUCCUACGGGAGGCAGCAGUGGGGAAUAUUGCACAAUGGGCGGAAGCCUGAUGCAGCAACGCCGCGUGCGGGAUGACGGCCUUCGGGUUGUAAACCGCUUUCGCCUGUGACGAAGCGUGAGUGGCGGUAAUGGGUAAAGAAGCACCGGCUAACUACGUG
rnacentral:rRNA from 1 species